AACAAACGCUGGCGGCGUGCCUAAUACAUGCAAGUCGAACGGGGAAAGCUUUCGGGUGAGUACUAGUGGCGCACGGGUGAGUAACGCGUGGAUAAUCUGCCUUAGAGUGGGGGAUAACUAGUCGAAAGAUUAGCUAAUACCGCAUAAGACCACAGGAACCGAGGUUCUAGAGGUCAAAGGUUUUUCGCUCUAAGAUGAGUCCGCGUAAGAUUAGCUAGUUGGUGAGGUAACGGCUCACCAAGGCAACGAUCUUUAACUGGUCUGAGAGGAUGAUAAGUAAAACUGGAACUGAGCCACUGUCCAGACUCCUACGGGAGGCAGCAGUAGGGAAUAUUGCACAAUGGAGGAAACUCUGAUGCAGCGACGCCGCGUGAGUGAUGAAGGCCUUCGGGUCGUAAAGCUCUGUCGCAGGGGAAUAACACAAUGAAUGUACCCUGUAAGAAAGGAUCGGCUAACUUCGUGCCAGCCGCCGCGGUAAGAC
rnacentral:rRNA from 1 species